UACAGAGACUGCAAGCGUUAUUCGGAUUUACUGGGCGUAAAGGGCGCGUAGGCGGACAGUUAAGUUGGGGGUGAAAGCCCGGGGCUCAACCUCGGAAUUGCCUUCAAUACUGGCUGUCUUGAGUGUGAGAGAGGUGUGCGGAACUCCGAGUGUAGAGGUGAAAUUCGUAGAUAUUCGGAAGAACACCAGUGGCGAAGGCGACACACUGGCUCACUACUGACGCUGAGGCGCGAAAGCGUGGGGAGCAAACAGG
rnacentral:rRNA from 1 species